GACGAACGCUGGCGGCGUGCUUAACACAUGCAAGUCGAACGGUAAGGCCUUUCGGGGUACACGAGUGGCGAACGGGUGAGUAACACGUGGGUGAUCUGCCCUGCACUUCGGGAUAAGCCCGGGAAACUGGGUCUAAUACCGGAUAGGACUGCGCGGUGCAUGCCGUGUGGUGGAAAGAUUUAUCGGUGCAGGAUGGGCCCGCGGCCUAUCAGCUUGUUGGUGGGGUAGUGGCCUACCAAGGCGACGACGGGUAGCCGGCCUGAGAGGGCGACCGGCCACACUGGGACUGAGACACGGCCCAGACUCCUACGGGAGGCAGCAGUGGGGAAUAUUGCACAAUGGGCGCAAGCCUGAUGCAGCGACGCCGCGUGAGGGAUGACGGCCUUCGGGUUGUAAACCUCUUUCAGCAGGGACGAAGCGUGAGUGACGGUACCUGCAGAAGAAGCACCGGCCAACUACGUG
rnacentral:rRNA from 1 species